UGUAUAAUGGGUCAGCGACUUAUAUUCUGUAGCAAGGUUAACCGAAUAGGGGAGCCGAAGGGAAACCGAGUCUUAACUGGGCGUUAAGUUGCAGGGUAUAGACCCGAAACCCGGUGAUCUAGCCAUGGGCAGGUUGAAGGUUGGGUAACACUAACUGGAGGACCGAACCGACUAAUGUUGAAAAAUUAGCGGAUGACUUGUGGCUGGGGGUGAAAGGCCAAUCAAACCGGGAGAUAGCUGGUUCUCCCCGAAAGCUAUUUAGGUAGCGCCUCGUGAAUUCAUCUCCGGGGGUAGAGCACUGUUUCGGCAAGGGGGUCAUCCCGACUUACCAACCCGAUGCAAACUGCGAAUACCGGAGAAUGUUAUCACGGGAGACACACGGCGGGUGCUAACGUCCGUCGUGAAGAGGGAAACAACCCAGACCGCCAGCUAAGGUCCCAAAGUCAUGGUUAAGUGGGAAACGAUGUGGGAAGGCCCAGACAGCCAGGAUGUUGGCUUAGAAGCAGCCAUCAUUUAAAGAAAGCGUAAUAGCUCACUGGUCGAGUCGGCCUGCGCGGAAGAUGUAACGGGGCUAAACCAUGCACCGAAGCUGCGGCAGCGACACUGUGUGUUGUUGGGUAGGGGAGCGUUCUGUAAGCCUGUGAAGGUGUGCUGUGAGGCAUGCUG
rnacentral:rRNA from 1 species